UGCAACGGUUUCUUACGACUUCUAAGGCUCGUUUCGUCGAUAUUCUCUUUCGUUUUUUUAUUGAUUGUCGGAUAUUGGUUCAUGAUGGCAGAAUUCGGGAAUGCCCUGAAAAGUGUCGCGCAUUUAUUUUCAUCAUUCCGCGAAUGGUUCGUCGCGUCUUAAAAUCGGGAGUUUGCCGUGCAAAGUGUCGCGCGUCCGUUUUUAGCAUACCGAGGACGAUUCGCGCGUGAUCGUCAUUAACUGUUUUUUUCGUGAGAAGAUGCAGUGCACGAGUACAAGAAAUCCUAGGGAAGGAGGAUAAUCUGAUAGUCUGAGAGGAGGAGGAGGUCUAGGAGGCAUCGGACGACAGCGGAGCAACCUUACGAUCAACCUAGUCUAUACGUAAUCAACUCCGCUAUUAUACAUCGAUUGAUAAAUUUAGGCAUCCCAAUCGGAAUCUCUGCUGUAACUGGGAAAAUCUUGGGAGAAUUCUAUGCGGAUUGUAAAGAAAGAAACGAAGAUACAAGUAUAAAAUAUGUGAAAAUGUCAUAUAUCACGAGACUGUACCACGACCUACAUCAAAGAAAGGAACGCGUGUGUACUAUCGUAAAAAGACAAAGUAAGAUGACGCACGGAAAGCUUGAUAAAAAUCGCUACUCUAAUCACUGUGAGAUUGACAAGAUGGAACAAGCUUUCGCGGAAAUAUUCACGAGUAUCGUGAGACGCCGAUUUCCCGGAUCAAACGAGAGAGAUUCGGAAGAUGGAGGACACGAUGUGUAAUGUGUGAGAGAGCGGGAUCAAAAAUAAUAAGAGCGUGAUCGCGGCGAAGUGUAGCAUAUAUCCGCGGUAGUAGACGUUGACGGGAUUUCCCAAAGAAAAAAAGAAAUGUACGACGAUAUACUCCCACGCCUCCACUCGACGGCGGACGAACCCAGCCGAAGCGAGUAACCAUCACCCACUCGACUACCCACCGCCCGGCCAGCCAGCAGCGAGCUAACCACCCACCUGCGUUAGCCGCGACCGCCGCCACCGUCGCUUUGCCGUAUUUAAAGCUCCGCUAGUAAAACAAUAAAUUGCGCUCGAGAGAACAGCAGAGUGAGAGGACCAAGAAAGAGAGAUAGAGAGAGGAUGUGAGAGGAGAAAGAGAGAGAGAGAGAGAGAAGGGGAGACGAGAGUCUCGCGGCAUACUACCUAUAGCGCGGAGGAAAGCGGUUCCUGUCAGCAAUUGCCCCCCUCUUGUAAGAAAAAAUGGCAGCUGCCGUGGCUGGAUGGCGCGUACGAGACCAUAAUACCGCGCGCCACCCUACCUCGCUCUGUACGUGUGGACGUACGAGCGCGCGAGCGCGGCAGGCGGAGCGGUUUGCCACGGAAUUGGAGGGGCGAAAGAAGGGGAGAGAGAACGGAGGAGAAGGGACAAGGACGCGAGAAAGAGAAUGAGAGAGGGUAGAGGCGCAGACGGCGUGGAAAAAAGCGGCGUGCGACGAGGAGGAACAACCUGGGUGAGCAGUCACUACGAUGACGACGAUGAUGAUGACGAAGAUGAUGACGACGACGACGACUAGG